rnacentral:lncRNA from 1 species
CUGCGAAUUAGCCCCAGGUUGGUGUGUUACCCUCCGGACUCAGAGUAGCACCAAAGGUUGAAACUAUAUUAUACCCUCCAGAAGACAGAAAGAAGGAGAAAAGUUAUGGAAUAGGGGCCACAGGAAUUUUCCACAUGGUGAAGAUACAAGGAAGCAGAUGAGAAGAACUGGCUUUUGAAAUUCAUCUUGACAUAUUGAACAAAUAUCAUCUGCAUCUGAACACUGUCUCUUGCUGGCAGCCACUCCAUAACUUGGUCAUGUAAAAAAUAUUGGCAAAACCUGUCUGAAAAUUCUUAAUGUCAAAAAAAGUCCAAAAGGUUUAGUAUGAGGUAGAAUAAAACCAGCAAUAUUCCAAGAAUCUAUCUAAUUAUGUUACUAAACUCCGCAUAGCUUAUAACGUAAUGAAACCAAACUAGUAUGGGAACAAAAGUUUGCUAAUACUGACAAAAUUCUUCUAAAAGCAUAUACCAGUAAUUCUAGGAUUUAAAAGGCAUGAUGAAAGAAAGCAUUUUAAGUAAAUAGGCAUUUUAAGCCCAUGAAGAGGAAUGUCAGAAUGAAGCCUGUAAUUCCAACGAACCAAAGUCCUUCCCAGAAACUCUAAUGGACUACGGUAGGAAUCUUUAAAAUUAAGCUGUAAGGAAGUGACUGAGAGUAAAACGUGUAAUAUGAAAGAAUGGAAAAUCCUGCUAAGACUACCAGUAACCAAACGCACUGAAUCUCUGAGCACCCUUCUC